CUUGUGUUGUUCAAAAUAUUGCCACUGAUUAAUGGCGACGCAUUUCAGUCCAGCGGAAACCACUUACAGUUAUGUUGACAUACGGUUAUGUUGCCCAGUGAUAUGAAACGAAACACCAACACUUUCGGCUGGUUGUUUAGUACCUUAUCCAUCCUGCCAUCGUGUAAUUACAACAAAACACAUAUAUUUCUUUCAUUAAAUACUUCGUCAUAAUGCUAUUGAAGUAUGAGACAUAUUUUAUUUACAUAGAUAUAAAGACCAGAGUAUAUACGGGCUAGAAAAAGUUACCAGACGUUUUCUUUUACUCUUUCACUCUUUUACUUGUUUCAGUCAUUUGACUGCGGCCAUGCUGGAGCACCACCUUUAGUCGAGCAAAUCGACCCCAAGACUUAUUCUUUGUAAGCCUUGUACUUAUUCUAUCGGUCACUUUUGCCGAACCGCUAAGUUACGGGGACGUAAACACACCAGAAUCGGUUGUCAAGCGAUGUUGGGGGACAAACACAGACACACAAACACACACACACACACACACACACACACACACACACACACACACACACACACACACACACACACACAUAUGUACUACGGACUUCUUUCAGUUUCCGUCUACCAAAUCCACACUCACAAGGCUUUGGUCAGCCCGAGGCUAUAGUAGAAGACACUUGCCCAAGGUGCCACGCAGUGGGACUGAACCCGGAACCAUGUGAUUGGUAAGCAAGCUACUUACUACACAGCCACUCCUACGACGUUCAUAUAUUUUUUGUGCAUUUGAGAGCAAAAUACAUUGAAAUUCCUUUAACCGGAAUUCGAAACCAAAUACUACAUCGCUGGAAGCAAGCUUACAUUUUGCGUUGUCGUUGUGUAACUUUAGGUCAAAUCAGAUCGAAACUAUUAAUCAUAAAGUUUCAGGAGCGCAAUUUCUAUCUUAUUUUUGGACAAUGUAUCUUCUAGAACUAUUGCCCAAUUUGUGUGUUCCCAUAUUAAUACGGUAUGAGAUUUGAGGGGAUUUUAUUGGUGUACUUUCUUUAGCAGCUUAUGCAACCACGAAGAGAUUUUCUCGGUUGGCUACUGUUAUGUCUCAAACUACAGCUAUAUAGCACCUUCAGAUAAUCUCUACUCAACCGCUACACAACUGCUACUCGACUGCUACUCAACACCUACCACGGCCAGACUACCUCUAUUUAUAUGUCUUGUGAGAUCCUACUUCUUCGCCUGGGGGCAUCGACACAACAGCUACCAUGAAAAUACUGCUUGCUGAUUGAUCUCAGACCAGACCAGAUAAUCAGACGAUAUUGCAAAUACUCAUUCACCCUAUGUUGUCUCAGAACGGUGAAAGUGAAGCCAGUGGCGAUGGUGAUAAUAAGACGAGCAGCGGCAGUACAUCGGAAUCCAAAAUGGACAUUGUAAAGUGAAAUGAAAACGUGAGAAAAUGACAAACGUAGCAUGUGUUUAAAACAUGAAACGUCCCACUGCUGUAACAAGUCUAAAGAACAAAGAGUGCUUUAUACAGCGAUGGGAAAAUUGCAGUAUCAACACAUAUAUUGCACGAUAAUUAGUAAGAAAUGAAACUCACUGAUUAGGAGAGAUAGAAAAUGUACUGGCUGUGUGGAUGGACAACAAUAGUGCCGCAAGCCUAUAAAUCUUUUAUUUAAUCCAGCGGAAGGUUGCAAUUAUCUUUGAAGUUUUAAGUGCUGAAUAUGUUCAGUAUAUUGGUGAAUAAACGUUUACUGGUAAUCAUGGAUGGUUGCACAGAUUUAAGGCUUGCUCAGCGUGCGAAAUAUAAAGGGGAACUGAGAGACUACGAGGUUUGACGAAGAAGCAGAAUGGGAGUUUUCUAAAUUAUUGUGGUUGUGUGAUAAGAAGCUUGGUACGUGUGGUAUGAAGGCGGCGAGCUGGGAGAAACGUUAGCACGCCGGGCGAAAUGCUUAGAGGUAUAUCGUCUGCCGUUACGCUCUGAAUUCAAAUUCCACCGAGGUCCACUUUGCCUUUCAUCCUUUCGGGAUCGAUAAAUUAAGUAUCAGUUACGCACUGGUGUCGAUAUAAUCGACUUAAUCCCUUUGUCUGUCCUUGUUUGUCUCCUUUAUGUUUAGCCCCUUGUGGGCAAUAAAGAAAUAAGAAGCUUGCUUCCCAACCACACGGUUCCGGGUUCAGUCCCACUGCGUGGGACUAGAAGACUUAAAUUUAGUAGCUGAUAAAGAGAUAAAUGAAUUAGAAAGGAAUUACAAUGAACUUAUAUUGCUUAGCUACUUUAUUAAGUGUUAAAUGGUUACUGCAACAUGUACUUAGUAAUAUUUUAAUAAUCUACUGAAUAAACUCGCGCAUUUAAUAUUUUAUUUUACUAUUUAGACUGCGUGGUAUUUGACUGAAUUCUUGUUCACACACUCACAACCCUGCUAUACUGACAUUCGUGCCCGCUCACGUAAACGUUCACACGU